rnacentral:lncRNA from 1 species
GGGGGAGGAAAGCAGGAAGGAAGUUGUGAGCCUGUCUGGGGUUGAACUCAGCGGAACAAGUUUUUCUUUUCUUCUUUUUUUUUUUUUUUUUUUCUAUUGCUUGGCAAGACGAGGGAGGGAAACACUUAAAAAAAAAGUUUCCAUUGUUAGCUAACCAAAAAAAAAAAAAAAAGCCUUUUAACUUCUGCGGUUUAAAGAUACACAAUUCAUUUUCCACCCCUCAAUCGAGGCUUGCUGAUGUGUCUAGCUUUAUGAAACUAGUUUUGAAAAAUGUUUUUAAUAAAGUUUUGAGUGUAUGUCUUAAACAAAGCAAAUCAUGGGGACCUUUUUAGCAUUUAAAAAAGGCUACAAUCCUAUAUAAACGAUUUGUGUUCUUGUACACAAUUCUGCAAAUUCAAAGAAGGUACAUUGAGGUCACCUUCAUGCAGAGUUGCAGAUUUUAAGUGCAUCACAGUAGUAUUUUGGAAGACUGGUUGGUCUAUGAGCUGGGGAUAGUUUUGCAGUGCAAUUGGUAGAUGUAUAAAUACACCUUUACAUAUCACAUUUAUUUAUAAAUGCACACAGUACAUGUGACAUUCGCAUAUUUUUGCACUUAAUUCUCAGAAUUAUUUUAAGAAAAAGCAUAGUCCUGGAACUAAGAAGGCUUGGCUAAUGUCUGAAACCCCUCUUGCUCCUGUAGACCCUUAUAGACUGUCUCCUGUAUACUGGAUCAUUUUCAAGAACCUUUUUACUAUCAGCAAAAAAGGGAGAAAGAACAUGAGCAAACAUUACUGGGCAGAGGAUCCUACCCCUUUUAAGCCCUGGCACUGCCAGUGUGUUUUACAUAAUUCUCUAAAUCUUAAACUACAGCAUUUAGUGAAAAGAGGGAAAACACAGCUGCACAGCUCAGGAGACUGAAACAUCCAAAGCCUGAAUUGGUCCUUAUAUCAUGAUUAGCUGAAAUUCAGAUGGAAAUUUUGACUUUGCUUGUAGCACACAGAUCUCUUGCUUGUUUAUGUAACAAUACUGUUAAGUGAGCAAAGUAACCUGCUGCUCAAUCAGGAAAAAGCUCAUGCUAAAUCUGAAAUCAAGAGAUCUUCUAGCCAAGAAUUCCUGAGAAUCACACACUGUUGAAAACUUUCUAGUUUUUAAAAAUUAGAAAUGGAAGAAUUGAACCUAAUUCCCCUCCUACCUUCAAUGGGACUUUUUUUAAAAAGCCCAAUCCCAGCACUUUGGGAGGCUGAGGCAGGCGGAUCACAAGGUCAGGAGUUCGAGACCAGCCUAACUAACAUGGUGAAACCCUGUCUUCACUAAAAAUACAAAAAUUAGUCGGGCGUGGUGGUGCACUCCUGUAAUCCCAGCUACUUGGGCAACUGAGGCAGGAGAAUCGCUUGAACCUGGGAGGCGGAGGUUGCAGUGAGCCAAGAUCAUACCACUGCACUCCAGCCUAAGCGACAGAGCGAGACUCCAUCUCAAAAAAAAAAAAAAAAAA